AUCGAACGCUGGCGGCAGGCUUAACACAUGCAAGUCGAGCGAGCGGCGGACGGGUGAGCAAUGUCUGGGAAACUGCCUGAUUGAGGGGGAUAACUACUGGAAACGGUAUCUAAUACCGCAUACCACCAGAUGCGUCCAGAUGGGAUUAGCUAGUAGGUGGGGUAAUGGUUCACCUAGGCGACGAUCCCUAGCUGGUCUGAGAGCAGGACCAGCCACACUGGAACUGAGACACGGUCCAGACUCCUACGGGAGGCAGCAGUGGGGAAUAUGGCACAAUGGGCGCAAGCCUGAUGCAGCCAUGCCGCGUGUGUGAAGAAGGCCUUCGGAUUGUAAAGCACUUUCAGCGAGGAGGCGUUACUCGCAGAAGAAGCACCGGCUAACUCCGUGCCAGCAGCCGCGGUAAUAC
rnacentral:rRNA from 1 species